UUUUUAAGAGAAAUAUUUAAAAGUCAUAUUCAGUAGACAUGAGAUGACGGGACUGUGCUAUUCCUAGGUCCACUGAGAAUGGACGCAUAUUGAGGCUGAUGGUAACUGAAGAUGGCUUUGACAAAAGAGGGGAGAAUUUAGGUCAUUUUGACGUCUGGAGAACAAAGUUUCAGUGUCAUAGCAGUAGCACUUCAGUAUGACACAUGUCUACAGUAUAACGUCACUUCAGUGCAACGGAACAUUCACUUCAGUCUACAGAACAAAGAAACUAUUGCAUAAAUAAAAUCACUGCUUACCACAUUCAGAAGCAUUAUGAUGCAAAAGUUGAUGCACACCGCAGUCCCUGUGGUAGCAACCUGAGAAUUAUUCCUGAUUAAGGCCCAUUUAAAGGCAGCAAAUGUACUGACAGUAACAACACGAUAUAUAACAAUGCCAAAAACAGCAGCAAUGACCACACAAAUC